rnacentral:lncRNA from 1 species
GAAACAGUGAGGCCAGGAAUCUGAAAUUAUGAGCAGCAAAGAAAGUCAUAAUGAUUGUACUGAUGAGUCAUUUGCCAUCUGCUUCUCAUUCAGAAAAGAUAAGUCAAGGUACCAAGAGUAAAGUGUUACCAAGAAAAAGCAAAAUGGACUGUUUUUCUGGAAUGAUAGAAGGAAAGAUGAAGUACAUAAGAAGCUGUCACAAGGGGACCAAUGUAUUCAGAACCCCUCUGAGCAGGCUGGGCAGAUACAAGCUUUGUGAAACCUAACACCUGCAGUAAAUGAUAGAGAAAAGGAAAGGAGGCCUAUACUAGAGAACUAGAAGCCAAAAGACUCAGUAGGUGAGUUCCAGUUCACCAAUUCAUUCUUCCAGUCCCACUUGCUGCCUCAAUUUGCGAUACCAGAGGCAGGAAAAGGCCCUCAUGAGGCCCCACUCUGAUGAGGGAAGAGAAGCUGACAACACACAUAAGCUGCAUAGAGGACUUUGAGCCAAUGCUGCUUUGAGACUCAGAAGAUGUGUGUCCUGGUCGAAGCCCCAGAGAAAAUACGGAGCCCUCUGCCCCUGCAUAUCUUUACAGAAGAAGUUUUCCUGCACAUCACUGGAUAUAGACAGACAUUGAUAAAAAAAGAAGAGAAUCAGAAGGCUCUAGACAACCCAAGCCCUCACUCAAAUUCUGCUGUUUCAAGUAGAAAACAACCAACUUGUAACCUAAGUCUCUCCUUUUUUAAGAGGAAGUGGUAGUGGGAUAAAGAAAAGGAUGGCAUUUCCUACAGCAGCUGAGACUCUUAUUAACUGGUUAAAGAACCAACUCCUCAAUAAAGAAUUAGUCGAAUGAACCA